GCUGAUGUAGCCUUGUGGUUAGGACGCCUCGCUGCAAUCCAGACUGCCAGGGUUCAAAACCCAGCCUUGGAA